AUGCUCAGAAAAUCACAAACCACCUACCUGGCAAAGCACGGUCUUCAGAAGAUUUUGUCCAUAGUGUUUUUUUUAUUAUUAUUUUUUAACCUAAAAGCUGACCAGGAACUGGAGGGAGGAAGUUUAGCUUAUGCAUUUCAUAGGUCUUUAAUGGACAUUUUAUUACUGACUGUAAUGUGUCUUGUCAUUUCUUUCCUCCCCAAUAGACUAAUGGAGAGAAAGUGUACAGCUUGGUGUGACGAUUUUGAGUCUCGACUACGACUUCUGGAGAACUGCAACAGAGCAUUUCCUGGAAGGGUCACCCAAAAAGAGCCUGAGGACAAAGAAGAAAAUCGGAAGAUGAAAGAGAAGAUCAAACAACUAAAGGCACGAAACCAUGAGCUCUUGUCUAAAUUGAUGAGCAUGCACAAGCAAUCAGAGAACAUGAAUGACCCUUCACGCUUGUCUGCUGUGCUGCAUUCGUAUGAGAUGGUUAGGCUACAUGACUGGGAAAAAUGCAGGAAAUCCUCAACGAAUAUGACAUAUACAAAUGGCAGAAGCAUAAUUAAGAAGCUGUUUGAUGCCUGUGAGGAAUAUAUAGAGAAGAGAAAAAAUGACAUAUUUAACGUCCUUGACAUUUCAUCUUCGAAUUACGCUUACGAAUCUCAGGAAUUUGCCAACUGCAAACAAGAGCUGAUGCCAAUUGUAACGGAACUCUUACGAAAUGCCUAUUGCCAACGUUACUCAGACUUUAACAAAAUCAUUACUGAGGUAAGUAAAGACACAGCCCAGAAACAGGGGCAAAGAUUCAGUUUUCUGGUUAUGUCUGCGCAGUUUGGUACAAAACAGGACAGGUCUUUCUUCUGCUUGGAGUUAUUUUCCACUUGUAGAGAGGGUCUUCUAGCCCGUAUACUCCCAUAUAUUCCCCCAGGCAUGCACAGAGAUACAUGUAACCUCCCCAAAACUGCAUCAGGAGCAGUGAGGAAUGGCAGGAGAGGCAGGGCGGUGCCCUCCCUAACAAGGGUGCAGUCCUACCAGGUGAGCAGAGCAGGGCUGGUGAUGGUGAUCAGGGUCAGUCACAGAGUAGCGAUCACCAGGCAAGCCCACAGUGAUGGGGCAAGAUGA
rnacentral:lncRNA from 1 species